AAUUCAUGUUUUUAACUUUUUAUAUAUAAUUCAUGUUUUUAACUUUUUACUAAAAGACUUUUUCAGAUAACAAUACAAUAUAUACAAAAAUUAUCUCUUUUUAAAAUUAUAUUAUCAGAUUUUGGAUAAUUCUUACUAUUAUUAAUUUUAAUCAAUUAUCUAAUCAAAUAAAUUAAAAUUUCGUUUUUAUUUUUUUUAAUUUAGUUGUACAUUUUAUUCAUUAAGGGUACAAACGAUAUUAACCAUUCUAACGAUAUUAACGUGGGAGCUCGAUUCCAAAAUUUUACUUCGCAAAUAAUAGUAUAGAUAGAUAGAUAGAUGAAAUUAUUAUUAUUAUUGGAGAAAUUAGGUGAAAUCAAUUAAAACUUAAGCAUCUAAUAUUUAUAUCUAUAUGUUGAAUCGUAAAGUCCAAUCAUACAGAUACAGAAGAACUCACGUUGGUUAUUUGUUUGUUUUUCAUAUGCUAUUUUUCCUUUUUUGAACAACGUCGCAAUUUUUCCCUUAUAUCUGUUUCACUAGUAACAAAAAAACAAGUAUACUCAUGCAUGGCUUUUAGGCUUUUAGCAAAGAGUUAAUAAACGAGAGUUCUAGGUAGGUGUGUCCAAUCUGGAUAUAGGUUCGUUUCCGUUUGGUUUUUCAGUUUUUUGGUAAUUCAGUUUAUAAGAAAUAGGUACCAUGUUAUAACCAUAUCAAAUUUGGUUUGGUUCGGUUUAGAUAUUGUCGGUUUUUGGUUUAUUCAGUUUUAUACCAAAAAAUCGUAAAUAUAUUUAUCUUUUAUAAGAUUUUGUGAAUUUUACUUUAUAUGAUAAGAUAUCAGCUUUAUAACAUGAAGAUAUUUCAGUUUUUAAAUAGAAUAUGUUUUCUUUUUUUCUUUAACUAUUUAAAAUGAUUAGUAAAAAUAUUAAGUUAAUAAUAAUAAUAGUUUUUAUAGAAUAAUAAUGAGAAAAAUUAGUAAUCCAUAAUAUUAUUAAAUAACUAAAUAUUAGCACACAUAUUUGUCAACAAAAAGUAAAAAAUUAUUUUAUGUUUAAUUUCAUAAAAAUUUAAAAUAAAUUAAUUUUAACAAAAAAUAAAAUAUUAAAUUACUGAAAUCAAAAUUUUAAGUAUGAAGAUCAUAUCUAUAAAAUAAAUUUUAUGUAUAUAUCGUUAAUUAUAUUAUAUGAUCUACAUAUAAUUAUGCUACUAUAUUUUAAUUGAUUGGUUUAUUCGGUUUGAUAGGUUUAUAUACCAAACUAUUUCCAUAUUCUGCGGUUUCUUAAAAACAAUAUCCAUUUGGUAUAUUCCGUAUUACCAUAUUCUGAAUAUUCGGCAUUACUAAAUACAAAUCACUUUUUCUAUUUCGGUUUGGUACGGUUUUAAUUGGUUUGGUUAAACCAGAUUGAACAGCCCUAGUUCUAGGUUGAGAAGUUAAUGUCUCUUACUAUACAAUCCUUUUCUGACUGAAAAUAGUAACUGAGGUAGUCUGGGAUGAGACAGACACAAACGCAAAUAAGAAAGAAGAGAAUGAUCUAGUAGGAAGUUAAAUGAUGGCCAAAGCGUAAAGGCUAUGUUACUUGAGAUGACCUAACCAAUGUUGUAAUAACUAUCUAACAAUCUUAAAUGUCCAUUCCUAAUUGGUGAGGGCGGUUGCUCAGAAAGAAUAUUUAUUUAUCUAUCUAUUUAUCUAUAUAUCUUAUAUAUUAAAAGAGAAGUCACAAUUUUUUUCAUAUGUGAAUUUUUAAAUUGGACAUUCUCCUAGAUAAUUACUUUAAUGAAAUUUUCUAUUUGCAUAAUAAUAUCAUAACAAUAAUUGUGGUUACAUUUUAGUCUUUUCUUUUCCUAAAUAACUAAGUAAAUGUAUGGUUAAUGAGAUCUUUUCCUGAUUUCCUUCCUAAACAUAUGCUUCUUUUUUUUAACAUGUGAUAUUUUUCUAAUUUAAUUUCAGCUAUUUAAUUAAAAAGGAACAUUAGAAACCGUAUUCUUUCAUCUAGAGUUCAAGAGAGCUAUAAUACACAUUAUUCAUAUAGACAUGAUUUUAAUAUCUUCAUUUUUUUAUUUGAAAUACAAAUAAAUAUUUUUAAGAAAAUUCUAUCAAAAUACUUUUAAAAAGAAUUCAGAAUCAUUUAAAAUUUUACUUAAAAUAAGUACUUAGUUCAAAUUUUUACAUAUAAUAAACUUUAAUUAGAAAUUAAAAUUUAAUUUAGUUUUCAUUUAUUAGCAAAAAAUUAAAAUUAUAAAAAAUAUUAUUAAAUAUAUUUUAAUGGUAAUGAAAAUUUAAAUGAUUAAUUUUCUAAAAUACAUUUUGCAAAGAUUUUAAAAAUUAUUUUAUUAGAUAGAUCCAUUUCUAUUUCCAAUUAAAAAAUAAAAACUAUUUUGCCCAAAUUAGUGUAUUUCAAGUAAUUUCUCAAAUAAGAUCACUACUACAAAAUUAUUUUGAAGUACAAUAUAUUGUAGCUAAUUUUUCUUAAAAAAUAUUGUUUUUACCAGUAUCUCAAAAAACAGUUAUUGAAGUUAAAUUAAAUUGGAUCUACAUAAAAAAAAAGCAUUUUUCAUAAAAAAUAUAUUAUGUAUAAUAGUAUUGCACCAUAAUAAUAUAAAAUAGUAUUGUUACAUAAUAAUUUUUACAUAAAUAAAAAAUUUACAAAAUUUAUAGUAAUAAUAUAUAAGUCACAUAAACAUAGGUAUUAUAGAAAUAUAACACUAAAUUACACCAAGUUUUUGAUAAAUUUGUUAUAUAAAUUUAAAAUAUUUUAGCUUAGAAAGGAAAAAAACCCGCACGGAUGUGCGGGUCAAGAUCUUGUAUUCUAUUAAAACUGAAGUACAAAACAAUACUUUUCUAUUUUUAAUUGAUUUAUUAUAUAUUUUUAUUCCAUUUUUAAUUAAUUCUAACCACUUCAUUUAUUAUAUUUUCUAAAUAAAUCGACAUUGUUUAUUACAGAAGUUCAAAAUAGAUAUCUUUUUUUUUUAUUGAUAAUCGUUUGUAUCCGGCGACUGAGGUCAACCAACUAAUCCCACAAGUCCCGCAACAGCUACAUAUUCUUACCAUUUAAGACAGCUCGGAUGGCCAAUGGGAAUCAAACUGUGUGUACUCUUACAUUUCUUUUCUCACUCUUUUAACUACUUCAUUAAUUAUCUUUAUUAUAAUAUUUCAACAGCAUUUGUUUUACAUAUUAACAAUAAUAAUUUGACAUAUUUGAAUGAAAUUGCUUUAUUUGUGACAAGAAUUCAAAAUGGUUGACAAAGAGUUCUUUUUAUUUGCUUACAUAAUCAAUUAGGUAUGGACAUUCGAGUAACAUGUUCAACUACGAGUUUUCUUUUGAGUAUCGGGUUUUUUGGGUUUUGAAAUUAGUCUUCAUUCGGGUUUUAUGGGUUUAGAGUCGGGUCUUCCCAAGUCCGGAUGGAUUUGGUUUUGAUGUAUAGAAACCUAAAAAUAUCCAAAAACUAAUGUAUUUGAAACAUGUUAGGAUAUUUGUACCAAAAGUAACCAUAUUAAUUUAAAAAUAUCAAAUAACCAAAAGUAACUAUAUUACCCGAUUUGCUACCGAGUAUCGUCAUAAUAUCAGCCAAUUUCAUUCUUUUAACUAGUUCAGGAAUAAUUUGCAAAUUAAUAAAACCCGGCGGUCAGAUUUUCCAUCUCUAAGGAAUACCACUUUGAUCUCCUUCGGAUUCGAUUCUGAUGUAUAGGAACCUAAAAAUAUUUAAAUUAUACAAUUAAUUAUAUGAUGACACAUAUAAAAUAUAUAGUAUUAAUCAUGAAAACAAAAUACCAAUUAUAUAAAAAAAAGUAAAAGUUAUAACACCCACACGAGAAUGCGAAUCAAUCUCUAGUUUAUUUUAAAAGUCAUACAAAGGAAAUCUAUACUAUAUUAAAAGGGUUAUAUGAGGAGUAGGGAGGCUAUCCACGUCAGACUAAAAUUUCUACCAAUCAAAUGCUUCUAAUUUACCACGUCACUUACUCAACACAAAAACUGUCGAUAUGUUUCGUCUUCUCCACUUCUCCAUUUUCUUUGAGCGUUGCCGAUUCUUUCACCUCUCUUUCUUUUCCUCUUAUUUAAUAAAACCUUUCACCAGUGAAUUCAGAACAACUCGAUUUACACAAAUGAGGUUUAUCUGAUGAGUCUGGUUACCUGGUGUUCCCGAUCACGACGCCAUCGAUAACCGGACGUAACCGGAGGACGAGGAGGGUUGGAGAUUAAUAGCAGAAACGAAAUCGAAGAUGAGGAUGAACACGAUGAGGAGGAAGAGGAGGAGGAAGAAGAUCGAGGGGAGGUGUUCCCGAUCACGACGCGAUCGAGAACCGGAUUCUCGAUUGGGCCGAGAUUCUAAUGGCAAUCAAGGAUAAUUCAGGAAACGCGGCUGAUUACGUCGACAACGGAGCUGGUUAGGAGGCGCUGCUCCAGAAUUUAGCGGAAGGAGACGGUGGCGAAGGUGGUGGGAGGAGAAGAGCACCGCUGGCUGCUAAAUCGACGAUUGAGGCGUUGGAGACUUUCGAGGUUUGUUCUGAUGAAGAUGAUGAAGGUUGUUGUUUUCGCUGUGUGUAAACAUGGGAUGGUGAUUGGUGAAACCGUUAAGAAGUUACCGUGUGGGCAUUGUUACCAUGAAAGCCGUGAUUUUGUGCACUUAUGAUUCAGCAGAGAGAGUCGGAAGGCUUGCUAACAAGGUUUAAUGGGGGAAAGUCAAACCUAAAAAAAUGAAGGUUUUCGUAGGGGUCUCUUACACAACUUCUCUGAACCAUUUGGUUGUUGUGAGGAAACUUAUUGUUCUCUCCUUAAAAAUAUUGCUUCCUCAGUGCGUUUUCCUCUUCCAAAGGUUUUUGUUUUUGUUAUCAUACAUUUUCACUUUUAAUAUUGUUAUCAUUUUUGAGUUUGAGCAGGCUCAAGUAUGAUAAUAUGAAACUGAGGAGACUUCAUGAUAAAAUCCACCAAAAAGAGAAAAGAGGAACAUAGCAGACGUGUAAAAAAAAAGACAAUUGAUAAAAGGUAAAAAUGCUUCCCUUAAUUCAUCACCUCAAGGAUCAGACUGUUGCAAAAUAUAUCAGGAUCGCAUUGCACUGUUUAUCAUCUUUUAUUGUUCCUGCUCAUGUCUUUUUUCUUUACAGGAAGAUAUUGCCCUUGGAGAAUUGUAUACUUUUAGUAAACUCUAAGUAUGCUUUAAGAUUUUCAGGUCUUUUAGUCUGCAAAAGAUAGGAUCCCUACGUUUAACCUUUUAUUAACAAUCUUAUGUUAAAACCCUUGAUUUUUGUGGCAGCUUUCAGUAUGUUUCUGGAAGUAAGCACAAUUCUUCAUCACUCUGAUGUAUUUUGGGUCCGUUGUUCCACGUCUCUAGACUUAUGUUGCAUAAGAAAAGACCUAAAACUCAAUCUUCACUGGUGGUUCUGAUGAGAUGAUGUUAACUCAAAUAUUGUAAGUUAGCAGUGUAACUGUACGCACGGACGUUGCUUGAAACUGCAAGUCUUCCCAUUCAUCUUUACGGUUACUCAAGCUAUUGCAUGUUCAUAUUUUCCCUUUACCUGCUGUCGUUCCUAUAGUUUCUGGUUCGACUUUACUUUGAACCUCUGUAAACUUACACUCUCAUGUAUCUUUUCAGUUACGGUGAAAGCUUUGUGUUCGGAACAUAUUGUGAUGGUUGUAACUGUGUCAAUCGUUCAAACAACGUUGACAAUGAACCUGAAAGAUUGAGAUAUUGAAGCAACUCGGUAAUGGAAUCUAAAUGCGUUCAGGUCGAAAAUUGCUAGCAGUCCGUCCACAUGGGGUUAAAGAUAAAAGAGUACGUGGUUUGAGGAUUAGCAGUGCUACUGAUUUUAAAAAAAAAGCAUUUACAUUUUCAAUAUUGUUGGAAGACUUCUGUGAACUUAUGUUAGAUUGCUGGGGAGUUCUUUUAGCUUCUAAGGUACAAUGAGAGAUUUUUCUUUUGUAGGAGGAUAUUGGUGAAGUUGUGUUGUCACUGUAAGAAAUCAGGAUGUUUUAAGAAGUAUUGUGAGUACUUUCAAGCAAACAUUUUUUGUUCUGGGAACUGCUAAUGCUUGGACUGCAAAAACUUUGAAGGAAGUGAGCAGAGAAAAGCUCUGUUUCAUGGUGAAAAUGCCAACAAUGUGGCUUAUCUCCACCAAUGAAACCAUUACUGGAGCUGUCGGCCCACUGGCUUUCUCCUUUGACACCCAAGUGAAAGUUUAUAGCGACUCCAAGAAUCUAAUCACGAAAAGCUACUUUACCUGAUUUUGAGGUUCAACUUUAUCAGCAUUUAAGUCGGCUUUCUGCUCAGUAAUCUUCUUCUUCUUCUUCCUCUAGAUUGAUUUGACUGGUUCAUUAGUCUUUUCUUAUCUCUUGAUUUAUAAAUUGGAUUAUACGAUAAAGAGGUUUACUUUCAGGUGCAGUGUAUCUUCUGGAACAUGGCAAAUAAGCAUGGAAUGUUGUUUCAUCCUCCCGAAUCUUCAGUCAGAAUUUUAUUCUGUUCUUCAAUCCCUAAGGUCUCAUCCUGAUAAAGUUGUGAAUGUAAUUGCUCGACCAGAUGGGACCUCGAAACAUUUCUCUAUUCCCUACAUAAUUUCCUGUUAAAAUAGUAACGAUUCUAUCAGUAAUAUGCAUUUGGCUUAUUUUUGGUUUAUAAUUUCAUGGAUAUGUUUUGCUCAUUGAUGAUGUCCAAAAAGAGGAAGCUUAUGCUAUUGUCUCUCACAAUAUUGGUCAACUUCUUUUUCUGUUAGAGACACAAAUGAUUGUACAAGAGAAACAGAGAAAAUAUCAUGCUAGGAGAGCUUUAUGGCUACUCUGAACUGCAUCCACAGUACAGCCUAAGUCAGCCUCAGAAGUUAUACUGACGGGUUCUUUUGAUGGUUGAUCAACCCAGGACAGUUCAACAAAAAAAAAUGCUUCACAUCUACUCGUGUUUUAUAAUUUAACAAACAGAGUAAAAUGAAGAAAGCACAAAACGGAGUCUUCAGAUGCUUUGGUUGUGAGCCAACAGAGAAGAUAGUGUACCAUUAUGCAAGUUGAAUCAACAAGCUCAACCUGUGAAAGUUUAUAUAUAACGAGAUUAUCUUUUCUGUUUGAACAAAAGAAGAUUAGUAUUUUUUUGUUCAAAUGAUUAUCUUUUCUUAAAUGUGUAAUUAUGGUGGACACACUGAUUUCUAUGUCUUUGCUAUAAAGUUAUAUUUUGAUCUAUUCCAUGCAUACCAUUUGGUUCAGAUUGGAGAGCCCUUGGAAACUUAAAAAAUAAGAAAAUCGAUGGCACUAGAAAUUUUGAAAAAUGAUUAAAAACAAUAAAUAACACAACUUGGUUAAAUAUGUAUAUGGUUUUUGACAUAAGUUCAUAAUGAAUGUUUACUUCUAAAAUGAUUACGUAGUUUGGUUGUUAAAAGCGAUGGUCCGCGGCUAGCAUUGUUUGGAAAACCAAACCUACCGGUUGAAAUGUGACUCACUCUUCUAACCGGAAUUAGACUGUGCUAAAAAUCGGUAUAUUCGCUUAAAACUUGGUCACACUCACUAAACUAAUGAUGCAGAUCGAUAUUAAAUUCGUUGCUUUAAAAAAAAUCAAGUUAAAAAUAAUUGUACGUUUUAACAAGAUUGCAUUAAAAAAUCUAUAUUAGCUUUUAAUAUCUAUCUAAAUAAAUUAGUUUUCAAUAUAUUUUAUAUUAUUUAGAACUUUUCAUUUUAUUUUCAUAUCAUUUUUAGAUUCUAACAAAAAUAUAAAGUUAUACAAAAAAAUAAUUUUAUAAUUAUACAUAUAUAUAUAGUUACUUAAAUUUAAAUUAUAUUAAAUUUUAAAAUCCGACAGAACCGGUCAGACCAUUGACCCAACUAAAAUACUGAACCAAUAUCCGAUCCGGUUUCCAAAAUAUUGGUGGCAAGGAUAAAAUUAAUAUCGUCCACUUUAUGAAUAAUUAAAAUAAACAAAUUUAUUGAUAACAACAAAAUAUAACCAAUCUUAAAUUUAUAUUAAUAUGUUAAAUUUAUAUAAAGUCAAUUUAUAUGUAUACUUAGUUUUGUUAGUUAGAUAUACCCUAAAUGUUUUUCAGAUUAUGAUAGUGAUUAUUUUCUUCCAACAUUUUGAAAAUGGAAAAUAUAAAACAAUAACUGAAAAAAAUUACACUAAUUAUUAUGUAAAUUAUUUAUACCAAAAUAAAAUGAACGUUUUGAUAAAAAAAAAAUAUAAUUACAUUAUUUUAUAAAACGUUUGUGCAUUAUUAAUAGUAUUUAUCAAACAACCACUUGGUUAACUACAAUGAUUUUAGCAUUCAUUAUUUUUUUCUAUUUAGUCUAACAUUCUAUUUCUUUUGUUUUCAACUAUAAGUUUUGUUAAACAAUACAAAUAUAUGUAAAAAAUGAUUGGAAACUUUUUUUUAGCCGGAUUUAAACUGUGCUAAAAACCGGCAAAUUCGCUUAAAACUUGGUCACACUCACUAAACCAAUGAUGCAGAUCGAUAUUAAAUUCGUUGCUUUAAAAAAAUUCAAUUUAAAAAUAAUUGUAUGUUUUAACAAGAUUACAUUAAUAAAAAAAAUCUAUAUUAGCUUUUAAUAUCUAUCUAAAUAAAUUAGUUUUCAAUAUAUUUUAUAUUAUUUAGAACUUUUCAUUUUAUUUUCAUAUCAUUUUUAGAUUCUAACAAAAAUAUAAGUUCUAAAAAUAAUAAUUUUAUAAUUAUAAAUAUAUAUAGUUACUUAAACUUAAAUUAUAUUAAAUUUUAAAAUCCGGCAGAACCGGUCCGACUAUUGACUCAAUUAAAAUACCGAGCCAAUAUCCGAUCCAGUUUCCAAAAUAUUGAUGGGAUAAAAUUAAUAUCGUCCACUUUAUAAAUAAUUAAAAAAAAUCUUUGUUGAUAACAACAAAAUAUAUACAAUCUUAAAUUUAUAUUAAUAUGUUAAAUUUACAUAAAAUUCAAUUCAUAUGUAUAGUUAGUUUUGUUAGUUAGAUAUACCCUAAAUGUUUUUCAGAUUAUGAUAGUGAUUAUUUUCUUCCAACAUUUUGAGAAUGGAAAAUAUAAAACAACAACUGAAAAUAAUACAAUUAUUUAUACCAAAAUAAAAUGAUUUUUUUUGUUAAAAAAAUUAUAAAAACAUUAUUUUGUAAAACUUUUGUUCAUUACUAAUAGUACUUAUCAAACAACCACUUGGUUAACUACAAUGAUUCUAUCAAUCACUAUUUUUUCUAUUUACUCUAACAUUCUUUUUUUUUCAACUAUAAGUUUUGUUAAACAAUAAAAAUAUAUGUAAAAAAAUGAUCGGAAACUUUGUUUUAGCCAUUAUCCGCGCGUAGCGCGGAAAAAAAAUCUAGUAGUACUAAUAAUAACUAGCCAGAGUUCUAAAUUUUUAAUAAAGUCAAAAACAUAGCUCUAUUUUCAUCUUGCGAAACAAUAGACCCUUACUUUUUGACCGGAUUCAAAUUCAACCGAUAGAUUUACCCCUUACACCAAACCUACCUCUUACCAUCAUCAUACUAUCAUUAUUUGGUUACGCCUAAUUUGACUUACUAUAACAACUAUAUUAGAGUUUGAUCCGUACAUCCGUACAGCUGUAUUUGUUAUUUUAUAAAUGUAUAAUUUUGAUAAAUGUUUUAAAUAUAUAUGAUUUAUAUUUUAGUGUUAUACUAGAUUUUGACCCACAUGUCCAUGCAGAUAUUUUCUUUAACUUUUAUAUCGUCCACAACCAUACUCUGUAUCCAGCUGCUACGGUAUUCAGGAUAAUAGAUCGAGAAGUGAGGAACAUAAUUCUAAGAAGACGAGGCAGGAGGAAGUUUACUUCUCUCUUGUCAAUUUGGCUAGCCUAAGUAUGUAUAGCGUUUACCUAUUUAACUUGUUUUCACUUUAAUGCUUCCUUGUUUUUAUUCUUUUUGCUUGGAAGUAUUGACUGUAGGAUUGCAACUCUUGCAAACUCCUUUUUUUCAUUUCUAAUGAUAUUAACAUUUUAGAAGAAAAAAAAUUAGCACUGAUGGUUUAUUAUGAACAUAUAUUUUCAUUUGUUACUAGUUAGAUAUUAUAUAUGACUCUUUGCAAAAUUUGAUAAUAUUUUCCUAUUAUGUAGUUUUCUUGUAAGGAACAUGUCUCGCAUAGAGUACCAAAGUAACAUGUUUCGCAUUGAUACAAAAAGCUUACAGUCAAAACUUCAAAAUACACUACCUAAAACGUCAGCCUCUUACAAAUAUUACUCCAGCCUCCAUCUAUAUAAGUAGCUUAACUAUCAAGACUUCAAAAACAACAUCUCACACAUUCUUAAAACAAAUAAUAAUAACUAGAAUUUGGUUGAAAAGGUCGCUAUGCUUCCAAAACAUGAAGUUCACAGGAGUAGUAUGCAUCGCGUUUGUGAUAGUCCUUGUAUCGGCUUCAGCUCCGACCAAAGAAGUCUUGGAAGAGAAAGUGGCAUGCAACUCGACAGAACAUAUAACAUGCAUACCAGCAUUACAAUCCGGAAGUCAACCGUCCGCUGAAUGCUGCGGAAAACUGAAAGAAGAAGAGUCGUGUUUGUGUGGUUACAUACAAAAUCCAUUGUUUUCUCAGUAUGUUACAUCUGCAAAUGUUCACAUGGUUUUAGUAACUUGUGGUAUCCCUUAUCCUUCUUGCUAGAAUUAUAAAAUUCAAAGGGAAAAUUGUUUUCUAUGCCAAAAAAUGAUAAUUAUGUCCGAUUAGACUAAUUACUAUUUUGUACCAUUUUUGUCUCUAAGGCUCUUUAGUAUUUUAGAAAAUAAAUUAAAUAAAUAGUUUUACAAACAAAAAAGAUUGGAAAUAAUAGUAACUACUGAUGAAAUACCUAUAUGAACUUAGUGAUAUUUUUCCAGUUUUAAAAAUGUUUAAAUCAUAAUUUCAGAUUUUGUUCUACAUAAAGUAGAAUUGACAUUCUACGAAAUAGAAAAUGAUAUCCAUUUUUCAUUGAAUCUAUUAUGUUUAGAAUAGGGGUGGACAUUUUACCCGAUAUCCGAAACCGCACCUGAACCCGAACGGGUGAUAUCCGAAGAUAACCAAACAUAUGUAUAAUUAACCUUAUAUUUCUAGUUUACAUCUCUCAUUUUAUAUAAAAUAUUUAUAUUGAUACUACAUAUAUUUUAAGUUCAUAUGAUGUACAUACAAUGACAGAGAAAAUGAUUUACUCACUUAAAAUGCAUGUCAAACUUUUUAUUU